AAACUGAGCAGUGGCAGCUGUGACUGUGCUGCACCAGCUGCCGCAUCCUGACCCUCUCAUCUGAAAGGCUGCGCGUCGCACCCAGGGCCCACGCGAUAAGGAUCGCCGCUCCCUUGAAAAGCCUAAAAGCCUGAAGGCAGCUGUCAAAUUACAAAUGAGAUCAACUUGGAGAAAGCAUAAAGACAGCUGUCCCCUUAGUGGAGAUAUAUUUAAGCUGUAUUCCCCUGCACUGUAACUAUCUGCCAUACAGUCACAUCUGUCAGUGGUCUGCCCCAUAGCAGGAAGGGCAGCUUGUGGACUCUGUCAUCUUCAUAUUCCGGACUCAAGGUUAGAAGAGUAAAAACCAGGUGCAAACCCACUUCAUCCAUUUUAUUUCAGGAUCAGUUGACAAAAACUAUCCAUGAAAGGAACCAUAAGUCAAACACUUAUGGUCCUUGAAAUGUUACAAAGCUGCAAUAAACAAAUGAGUCUUUGCCAGCAUGGUCAGCCAAGGAUCAGCACCUCUGUAAUCAUGUCAGUCUAUGGAGAACUUCACUUUCUAUUUGUGCAAGAGUUAGAGAAUAAAAGACUUCUUAAUUUC